GACGAACGCUGGCGGCGGGCUUAACACAUGCAAGUCGAACGGAAAGGCCCUGCUUUUGUGGGGUGCUCGAGUGGCGAACGGGUGAGUAACACGUGAGUAACCUUCCCUUGACUUUGGGAUAACUUCAGGAAACUGGGGCUAAUACCGGAUAGGAGCUCCUGCUGCAUGGUGGUGGUUGGAAAGUUUCGGCGGUUGGGGAUGGACUCGCGGCUUAUCAGCUUGUUGGUGGGGUAGUGGCUUACCAAGGCUUUGACGGGUAGCCGGCCUGAGAGGGUGAACGGCGACAUUGGGACUGAGAUACGGCCCAGACUCCUACGGGAGGCAGCAGUGGGGAAUAUUGCACAAUGGGCGGAAGCCUGAUGAAGCAACGCCGCGUGCGGGAUGACGGCCUUCGGGUUGUAAACCGCUUUCGCCUGUGACGAAGCGUGAGUGACGGUAAUGGGUAAAGAAGCACCGGCUAACUACGUG
rnacentral:rRNA from 1 species